rnacentral:lncRNA from 1 species
AGGUAUUGAAUUUCAAGGAGAGCUCCUUAACUUCAGCAAAGAUGGUACCCCGUUGAUGAACAGGCUAAGACUUAAGCCAAUUCAUAGCGACGAUGGUAUAGUCACUCAUGUUAUUGGAAUCCAAGUGUUCGUUGAAGCAAAACUAGACCUGAAUAAUGUGUCAUAUCCGGUUUUCAAAGAAACUUGUAAAAAGCAGCGUAAUGAGUCAGAUGAAACCUUUCAAAAGAGUGGACAUUUACUGCAGAGUCAGCAUCAGGAAAUAUGUGGAAUUCUGCAGCUUUCUGAUGAAGUACUGGCCCAUAAUAUUUUAUCACGCUUGACGCCACGGGAUGUUGCAUCAAUUGGGUCUGUUUGCACAAGGAUUCGUCAACUAACAAAGAAUGAGCAUGUGAGGAAAAUGGUAUGUCAAAAUGCAUGGGGAAGAGAUGUAACAGGCGCACUGGAACUGAUGACUAAAAAGCUAGGAUGGGGACGCUUGGCUAGGGAACUAACUACUCUAGAAGCCGUUUGUUGGAAGAAGCUGACAGUUGGAGGUGCAGUAGAGCCUUCCCGUUGCAACUUUAGUGCUUGUGCUGCUGGGAACCGACUGGUCUUGUUUGGAGGAGAAGGAGUCAAUAUGCAGCCAAUGGAUGACACUUUCGUUCUCAAUCUUGAUGCUGCAAACCCGGAGUGGCGUCGGGUGAGUGUUAAAUCUUCUCCUCCAGGGCGCUGGGGCCAUACCCUGUCCUGCUUGAAUGGUUCUUGGUUGGUGGUCUUUGGUGGCUGUGGGAGGCAAGGCUUACUCAAUGAUGUGUUUGUUCUUGAUUUGGAUGCUAAGCAGCCAACAUGGAUAGAAGUCUCUGGUGGGACCCCCCCACCUCCUAGAUCUUGGCAUAGUUCUUGCACAAUAGAGGGCUCUAAGUUAGUUGUCUCAGGUGGAUGCACUGAUGCAGGUGUGCUUCUCAGUGAUACAUACUUGUUGGAUCUUAACACAAACAAACCUAUAUGGAGAGAGAUUCCAACGUCAUGGGUUCCUCCGUCCAGAUUAGGACACUCACUAUCUGUCUAUGGACGAACAAAAAUUCUAAUGUAUGGUGGGCUUGCAAAAAGUGGGCACUUGCAGUUGCGGUCAGGUGAAGCAUAUACCAUUGAUUUGGAGGAUGAGAAGCCAAAUUGGAGGCAGCUUGAAUGUGGUGCAUUAACUGGUGUAGGAAGUCAGAAUGCUGUGGUUCCACCUCCUAGACUCGAUCAUGUUGCUGUAACAAUGCCUUGUGGGAGGAUCAUUAUCUUUGGUGGCUCAAUAGCUGGAUUGCACUCUCCUUCACAGCUGUUUCUGUUGGAUCCUGCUGAAGAGAAACCGUCCUGGAGAACAAUCACUGUCCCUGGGCAACCACCUAAAUUUGCUUGGGGUCAUAGCACAUGCAUUGUAGGAGGAACCAGGGUUUUGGUCCUCGGUGGGCAUACUGGGGAAGAAUGGAUUCUCAACGAAUUGCAUGAGUUGCGGUUAGCAAGUAGACAGGAUUCAGAUCCAUGAGUUAACGAAGGUUUCAGUUUGUGGUCUAGGUAAUUUUUCUGUUGUUUUACUGUGAUUUUUAUACGACUGGUGUAAUAUGUGUAUAUAUUCUUGUGAUGCUAUGUUUGUAUUGCCUACUUUCAUCGAACAAGCAUUAUGGCUCUUCUCUUGGUUUAUUUAGUAUAAAAUGAUUGAGUUUUGCUAGUAUUAGGCUUGGGAUUGGACCUCUGGUUCUUUAUCAUUACUUAUUCCCUAUAUAGCUUCAAUUCUUAUGGCAAGUCGAUAGUCUUUCCUGUGCUAGUGUUUUGCUACAAGAGUUUGAGUCUGCAGUUAUACUUUAUCGCGAGUCCUUUGCAAUAAACAUCGUUAUUUGACCAAUAAUUUUCUUAUAUAUAGUAGAAGUAUGGCAUGGAUACAAUUGUCAUUUAUAUAUAAUAAUUAAUUUAUAACACUUCCUAGCCUAUGUUUGGGAGCGGUGUUUAUCCCAUUUUUAGCAAAAUUUUUAUAGUUGACAAGCUUACAUGGGUCCUAACGACCGUAAUUAUUAACUACCUUAUAAAUAAAUUAUUAGAAAUGUCCUUCUCUCAAGAAAAAUGAAUUAAGUGCUAGAGGGACGCAUAGGUUAUUAUGUUCGAUCUAGUUAAUAAUUGUGAUUGGUAUGAAAAUGACAUACAAUGUAUAACGGUAAAAAAUUUGCAAAUUGGAUAAAAAGUGCUCCCAAACAGGGGCUUAGUAUUGUAAUUGAAUCACCUCGCGAGGGCAUAGGUCGUCCCUAAAGGUAGCCCUUGAAAAUUAUGUCUAUUUGAAUACAUGAGCCGCCUCAAAUGACCUUGUACAUAAAUUAAUUUAAUCCAUUAGUCUUUCGUUGUAUUGAUUGACUUUUCCUUUAAUUUUUGAUUCAAUAUAAGUCCUGUUUGUCUCAUUUUAAAAUAUGUCUCUUUAAUUCUCAUAUUCAUUUUCAAUCAUAUAUCACAUGAUAAAAUAUUUUGCACUUAAACUCAAAAUAUUUCCCUACUUUUAUUCAAGUAUUCUUUAAAAAAUUAUUAUUUAAAACAUCAUUUUAUUCCCAAAAUAAUGACCAUAAAAGAGGGAUAAAUCUAAUAUAUAAAAGUAUUUUGUAUAAAAACUUUAGGAUGUUACAAUCACGGCAAGAAUAGAUUGUGCAUACGACUCAAGAUCGUUUUCGGCAACGUGGUCAAGAAAAGGGGGUUGGACGGAUGAGUUUUUACUAGACUCGUGUACAAACUUAAUAACAUAUUGCUGCAUAUUUUUACUAUCGUUAAGAUUGAUUUGGAACAAAACGUAUUAUAAUUGUAAAGAGAUGCCACACUUCAUUAUAGACAUAUGGAUAAGAUACUAACCUACAAUAUCGAAAAGGGAAACUCCCCAAGUAUAGGGAUUUUCUCACAAAAUUUCAACAGGUUCAGCCAUAACGGCACUUGAUUUUCAGGCAAUUUUUUGUUUUUGGUUAUUUGCCAAUAAAUUUGUAUCAUGUGGAAUCUUGCAAAAUUUCUAUAAAGAUUUUCUCGUACCUACAGCAUUACCCUAUCGAAAAAGAGCAGGCCUAAUCCUUAUCUAUGAAACGCCAUGGUAGCUUAAGGCUAGUUGAUUCAAAUUACUAAAAUAUCAUCAAUAAUAUCCGACUCAAAAUGAAGUGACUACUCUUAAUUAGAAAAUUCAAAGAUUUAAAUUUUAAAAGUCUAAGAGAAAAUUUUGGCAGUCUAAAUUUCGUUGAGGGUCAUUUUCAUUAUAAAUCAAACAAAGAAAAAUUGGGAAUAAAUUGAAGAAGUGAAAAAGUCCACAUUUUGAUCCUAAGAAAAAAUGGUCCAUUGCACGAUAACAGAGUUUGUGCAAGUUUGACUAAAACAAAUUCACUACCAUAGUGUCAUAAGCAGGUAAAAAUUGUUACUUAUAUCUUAAAAAAAUAUUUUUAAACAAACUUGAAAUAAAUGAUUAUUUUUAAAUUUAAUUUAAUCUAUUAGGCAAACAUGAUAUAUUGCUUUCUGCUUAUAGAGUUGGUACCCUUUGUUUUAUUGUGUUAAAUUUCUUCGUGCAAUAACAAUGCAAUUCAUAAUAAUAAUUAUUAGAGUCCAUCUAGUCCCUUUGAACACUAAAUCCUUCAACAUUAUUAGAUUAUAUUUGGCUAAUAUAUAAAUAAUUUAUAAAUAUCUAUUUAUUUAUAAAUUCAUCCGUUUAUGAAUUCUUCGAAAGCGGAGACUUAAUUAUUUUGUAUUAACAGAUUUUCAGUCGAUUUUCAAGAUAGGGAUUUACAAACUUGAAUAAAAAACAGAUAUACUAAUGUAUUCUUAAAUUUUAAUGAGUUCAUCUACCUUAAGAUGAUAUUUUGAAAAAUAAGUCAGUCCUGAUAUUUGAAGUAAAAUUUAUUGCUAACAAUAAGCAAAAAAUAUUCUGGGUUGAAAUAUAAAUUAUAUCUCAUUAUUUAUAUUAAUUCUUACGCUUUGUGACUUUUCAUUUAUACUGUAAUUUAUCAGUUUGAGCAAUAUAAAAAUUUGUAAAUAAUUUUAUACCUCCAAGAAUCUUAAACUUAUUUCUGAAUAUAUCAAUUUUUGCAGAUCAUUUUUUUCUUAAGAUUACGUUUAUUUCCCUAUUAGUCCAUAAAAAUGGAUGUAAAUAAAUGCACAAAAAACCGAUAAAGUGACGAUGAAAGUUUUUGAUUAUUUAUUUAUUUAUUUUUGGAAAAAAGAGAGUAUCAAUAGUCAAUUACUUUGUGUUGCGGUAGUUUUGUUUGAUUCCCAUUACCAGAAAAUAAAAAUGGGGGAAAUAAUAUUUUUUAGAAAAAUGAGUGGUUGAAAAAGAAGGAAAAGUUUUCGAUUUACAUGUAAUAUUAUUUUAUGGAAGAUUGUGUGGUUAAAAAUAAAAGAGAGAAAAAUGAAAUGUAAUGUAAUUUAAUUUAAUCGGGAUCAAACAUGGCUUAAUUAAAAUAAAAGAAGUGGAUGACCACGGUGCAUUAUGGCUUACGGAUUCAAGUCUAAGGUCUCAUUAGUCAAGGAAUUAUAAUUGAAUAAAUUAUUAUCUUCUUGUGAAUUCUCUAUGCUACUUUCCAUUUUGAGAAAUGUGUUUAAAAAUGACCAAAUUUAUGAGAAAAAUUGAUAAUAUCUUAAAUUUAGUAAAUUUUUUUCCUCAACCACAACUUAUUUAUCACUUCCCAUGCAUAUCUACUUCCUCGCACCUUGUGAUCAGAGACAACGCUAGAGAUGGUUAGGGAUGUAUUAUUCGAAAUCAACUCAAAAUAAAGAAGAGAAUAAAUCAAAAUUAAAUUUAAAAUUCGAGAUAACAAGGCACCCUCUAAUGCAUGCAUUGGUGGAUUGUACAUAAACACGAGGUUCCUCUUUUUGAAAGUGCCCAGAAGGAUGAUAUUGAUUCAUCACUUGAAACAUUUAUCCACCUCGCUUUGCCUGCUACGCAAGAGGAGAGAGAAUUACAAAUUUCUUCACGACAAGAAAUGCAUCGCCAAAUGUUCGAUAGUUCCUAUAUUCAAUCAUUUUCCAUCUUGCUGCUAGAUAUCUCGUUUUUACAUAUAAUUUACACGUUCAUCAUUAGGUUUCAAAUUUUAGAAAUGAGCUUUUUGUUUUAUCAACAUAUUUUACAUAAUGGUUCGAGCACUAUAAAGAAACGAAGACGAGUCCUAUGCCUAAAUCAAAUGUUGCUAGAUAUCUUGUUUCGUACAUAUUACAUGUUCAUCAUAGGUUUUAGAUAUUAGAAAUGAGCUUUUUGUUUUAUUGACCUAUUUUACAUCAUGGUUCGAGCGCCAUAAAGAAACGAAGCUGGGUCCUACGCCUAAAUCGAAUGGUGACUGGAUUCAUUUCGUAGGAUGAGAUUCUAUAACAUCAUAAAUUCAAACUCUUAUCCUAAGCUCUCGAAUUAGAUCUUUUGGAGUUAUAGAUGAUGGUUGUUUCACGUUCACUCCAAUAAAUCACGAUUGAUUAACUGACUACUUGUGCAUAGUUUAAACAUCAUUGAAUAAUUAAAUUUAUUUCAAAUAGAAUAAUAUAAGUCGACUCAAACUCAAUUUAUAAACAAAAUAAAAUUAUUAAUUUAAAGAGACAAAUUUCUUUAACAAAAUGAAUAUGCAAUGAUAUUUCGAAAUCACAUACGUGCUUCAAAUUAUGAAAGUAUUUAUGGAACAAUGUGAAAAUCUUUUUAUAUAACCCUAAAAAAUUACCGAUUUUUUCAAAAUUGUCGCACUUAAAAAAAAAAUACAUCGUUAUGAAUCUCUAUCGAUUUAUUUCAUAUUAAAGAGACGAUUUUUAAUAUUAUUGUGAGUUUUAGAAAAUUUUAUUAUAUUAAUAAUAUAUUUUAGGAGGUGAUAAAAAUCUUGUCUGCACCACCGCCCUUACCCUACGGAGUUGAAUACUUUUUGUAUUGGUAAAAGAGAGUGGAAGGAAUUUCUUUAUCCACGCUCAAGGCAUUUCCGUAAUUAAGCGAUCUUUUUAGCCCAAUUUCAUUACCCCUUUUUAAUAUAUCUACUCUCACGCUCUGCACCACCUACAUAUAAUAUUCUAUACAUACACGCAGAUACAGAGAGAGAACAGAGAGAUGGGAAUGGAAAAGAGAGUAGAAGAAGAGUUUCAGAGCUGCGGGAAGCGGCUAAAAUGUGCCGAGAGUGAAGACAACAUGGAGUUUUAUGGGGAGAAUGAGCUUGAACUACUGGCUGGGCCGGUUGACCAAUUCUUCUAUCCAGUCCCGAUGCCGACAUCGAUCGUCGUCUCCGAUGCCUUGGAACCUGAUUUUCCGGUCAUCUAUGUCAACACUGUAUUCGAAUUCUCCACUGGAUUUCGCGCUGACGAAGUCCUCGGACGUAACUGGUAAUUUACAUGUCGCCUGUUCGCGGAUGCGAAUAACUAUGUGUGUGUGUUAAAUUUAGCCAUUUUAUAUUAUUGUAAGUUUUAUAUCUUGAAAUAAUGGAAAUUCAAACAGUUGAAAAUGGAAAUUUAUUCGAAACAUUGGUUUCUGAGUUCUACAGAGAAACAAUACUCGUAUUCAUGGCGGUGGAGAUGAAAAUGACUAUUUUGCCAUAUCAAAUUAUAUUUUUUCAAUUUUUUGAAUGGUUUUUCUUUUUCUUUUGAGCAGCAUUAUAUUAAGAUCCCCUAUUUUCAAGACUACAUGUUAUAUAUAUUUGUAGUUUACGUAUUUAUCUAAAAUUAUUCAAAGCUUAAAAGAAUUAUAAGUAUAACCACGUAGCGUUUUCUUCAGUCAUUGGGAAGUUUAUUAACUGAAUGAUUGAGUUCAAAGGCUCAUAGAAAGAUUGAGAAAAUAAUAAUCAAUUUUCAGGUUGAACUUUUUGUUGUAUAGAUUCUAUCUAGCAAGAAUUAUCCUUUGGGUGAUUCUGAUCUUGUAUGACAAUGACGAGUUGUUAUGUGAGUGAGUGCAAUGGAGUAUUGAUUGAAACAAACUCAGUAUACUAGCUAAAAUCAUUUGUAGAAAUAAAAACUGACAUCUAAAAACUAAAGAAAGAACAAUAUGCAUACAUAAUUUUUGCGAAUGUGUCUGCAUGAACUAACUUGUAUAGUUGGUGAAAAAUGGGUCGUGGGUUGCAUGUGGGUUGACUUCACCUGCAUAAUGUUGAUAUUGGAAACCUUCCACCUUCCGUAACCUCUCAUUACUUCCUUAAGCUUCUUUUAUAUAAUGAGAGAAACUUUAUGUGGUGCAUGAAAAUGCACCAAAAAUGGAAGAGCUUGAAUAACAUUUUUCUUUUUAAAUCCUUAAAAAGAGUUGGAUCUUGGAUUGUGACAAAUGAACUCCUUCCUAUGUGAUUGGGUGCUAGACCAUUAGACUGAAGCAAAAUGUGGUUUAUGGAGGUGAGAUAUUAUUAGAUUGGUAUCAGAUCCUGCAAGGGUAAUAUGUGUGCAUUCUUCCGUGUCCAAAAAUGCCCUUGCAUGCUUCAAAAGUGUAGCGACUUGUAUAUGUCAUUUUCUGCAAUCUUGAGUGGUGUUUAAUGACAUCUUGUGAUGGACAUUUCCAAGAUUCUCGAAAUUUUAGAAUUAUAAACCUACCAUGCAUUAGGGUAAGCCUUGACAUUUCAUAAUUUUACGCUUUAUGUUUUGGGAGAGAAGAAACAUUGUACCGAUUUUUUUUAUAGCGUGAUAUAGAGGUUAGAAACUAUUUUUUGUAAGUUUUCCAACUGUGUAUAUUAUGAUUCAUUUGGACUUGAGUUGAGAACCGAUAUUGAAUUUUCAAUGUUUGGUUAAAAAAUAAUGGUUUCUGAAAAUUUAAGAAAUUUUGAGUACAAGAUAAUGAACAAUGAUUUCCAGUCCCACUCUCGUUUUCUUUGGUGGUUAUUCCACACAGUAGUUUAUGAUUGGGUUUUGUCAAUUUCUAUUGCACCUUUUGAAUCUACAAGUCAAAAUAUGUAGAAAAGGGAUAUAGAUAUCGUAAAAAUGGCGUGCACCACACUUGCCAUCUCAUGCGCGUGUAGCGUGCUCUACAAUAGUUACUAAAGCAUAAUAUUAGCGUUCUAUUUAUGUUGUGUGCGUGAAUGCGUAAACUACAGAUUUUGGUUUUGGAAAGUUAUGCUUUAAAUUUUAUUUUAAAUUUCUGAGAAAUAAAAUAUGGAGUUAAAAAUGUGAUUGUGCUGAGUCAAUUGAUUAUAGUAUUUCACACUUCAGUUGCUCACUUGACAGGACUGGAUCUCAAUCGUCGUUCUUCUUAAAUUGAUAUUUGUUAUGGACUUCUGUAGUAGAUAAAGAUAGGCUUUCUCACAUGAGAUAUUUUGGGAUGUGUUGAAAUGAGAUAAAGUUUGAUCUUGUGAUGCACUAUAUCCCAUCUUCAUGAUGAAAUCUGAAAUUAUUAUAGGUAAUCAAAGUGGACUCCUCCAUUAGACUUGUUUGGUAGUCUGAUCAAGUUCUUGGUUGAGAUUGUAAAUAUGAAUAAAUAUAAGAACACAAGUCAGAUAAGGAGGUGUAUCUGAACCAAGAUUUAUAUGAUCUUUUUCGGUUUUGGAGAAUAUGACAUACGCCUUAAAGAGAAUUAAGAAAAUACCGGAGCAUGUGUUUCAUAUCAUGCGUGCUUUGCUGACCAGUGGUAUACCUAAUGAAUGAAUCCCUACUUGCUCAUUGUGUGAGAAGCAUUGAUUUAUAUCACCUGAUAUAUUAUACCUUUGUAUGACAUGUGCUUUGCUGACCUGUGGUAUAACUAAUGAAUGGAUCCUUGCUCAUUGUCUGAUGCAUAGAUUUAAAUCAUCUCAUGUAUUAUACCUUUCACACUUUUGAUCGUUUCUCAAAGCUUCAUUUUAGUGUUGCUAUCAAAGUGGGAGAACUACUAUACUCCAAUAACAUGUCUAUAGUAAUGUGAGCUCUCUUCAAGUACAAUGGCUAGGCACUUGAUGUAUUAGCUUGUGUGAACAUUGUAAGAUAGAUUAAUGCGUGAUAUUAGUUCUUACAUAUAGUUUGCAUCAAACUUAUCAUUUGUGAUGAGAGAUGUUGAAAAAUGGGUUGUGGGGUGUCCAUAUGGGCUGACCCGAACCACAACCGAUUGACAUGGGUUGUGGCAAAUGAACCUUUUCCAUUGCAAUUGAAUUCUAGACCAUUGAGGUGCGCCAAACUGUAGAUUUGACAUGGGGAAGUGCAACUCAGUCAACCCCAAAAGAUCUUGGAAAUUUUUCUUGUAAAGUAAGGUUGUUGAACCGGGGAGUAAUUUAUUUGCGUGUAAAAUAUUUUUUAAAUGUUAGCAGAAAAUAUAGAACAAAAACAAAGCUGAGGGUUCUUGAAUUCACAAUGCAUGACACAAGUUGAGUUGCUUAAGCUGAUUUAGUUCUUAGGUAAUUAUAAAAAUGUUACCAGUUUAUAUUCAUGUAUUAAUGUUGUAUAAUUGAUAAAAAUUUGCCAGGUAAAUUCUCUAGACAUUUUGAACCGGACUUUUGACAGGCCAGCCCUGGGUAUGAGUGUGUUUUCCUGAAAAUAUUGAUUGCAAGGUGGUUUGAGUCCUGUGCGCUGUGUUAUAUGCAUAGUGGGUAUGAGUGUUACAUGCAUACAUGGUGGAGACCUUAAGACCAUGUUUGGGGUGUCUUAAAAGUGAACAUACACACGUGAGAGUGAGCACACUCUUUUUUUUUUUCUCAUGCUUAUAAGUUCAAUUAUAAGACAACUUGUAAUUCGGGAUUCAGUUUAGCAUAAUUUGUGUCCUUGUUGUAUCAAAAUGUAUACCUUUAGACAUGAAUUUCUUGAUAUGGGCCUUUUAGUUAUGGAGUAUAUCCCCAUUUUUAGUAAUAUUCUACUAUAUUUUUCAUCUCCAAAAAGUUAAAGAGAGUAUUUUUGAAUCUUUCAGUCGGUUCUUGCAAUAUAGAGACCCUCGCGCCCAGAGACGACACCCUUUGGUGGAUCCUGUUGUUGUCCUUGUUGUAUCAAAAUGUAUACCUUUAGACAUGAAUUUCUUGAUAUGGGCCUUUUAGUUAUGGAGUAUAUCCCCAUUUUUAGUAAUAUUCUACUAUAUUUUUCAUCUCCAAAAAGUUAAAGAGAGUAUUUUUGAAUCUUUCAGUCGGUUCUUGCAAUAUAGAGACCCUCGCGCCCAGAGACGACACCCUUUGGUGGAUCCUGUUGUUGUUUCUGAGAUCAGAAGAUGUCUUGAGGAAGGUAUUGAAUUUCAAGGAGAGCUCCUUAACUUCAGCAAAGAUGGUACCCCGUUGAUGAACAGGCUAAGACUUAAGCCAAUUCAUAGCGACGAUGGUAUAGUCACUCAUGUUAUUGGAGUCCAAGUGUUCGUUGAAGCAAAACUAGACCUGAAUAAUGUGUCAUAUCCGGUUUUCAAAGAAACUUGUAAAAAGCAGCGUAAUGAGUCAGAUGAAACCUUUCAAAAGAGUGGACAUUUACUGCAGAGUCAGCAUCAGGAAAUAUGUGGAAUUCUGCAGCUUUCUGAUGAAGUACUGGCCCAUAAUAUUUUAUCACGCUUGACGCCACGGGAUGUUGCAUCAAUUGGGUCUGUUUGCACAAGGAUUCGUCAACUAACAAAGAAUGAGCAUGUGAGGAAAAUGGUAUGUC